GACGAACGCUGGCGGCGCGCCUAACACAUGCAAGUCGAACGGGGACUGUCCGGAGCUUGCUUCGGACGGUUUCAGUGGCGGACGGGUGAGUAACGCGUGAGGAACCUGCCUUUCAGAGGGGGAUAACGUCCGGAAACGGACGCUAAUACCGCAUGACAUCCCGGGAUCACAUGGUUUUGGGAUCAAAGGAGCAAUCCGCUGGAAGAUGGACUCGCGUCCGAUUAGCCGGUUGGUGAGGUAACGGCCCACCAAAGCUGCGAUCGGUAGCCGGACUGAGAGGUUGAACGGCCACAUUGGGACUGAGACACGGCCCAGACUCCUACGGGAGGCAGCAGUGGGGGAUCUUGCACAAUGGAGGGAACUCUGAUGCAGCAACGCCGCGUGAGGGAAGACGGUCUUCGGAUUGUAAACCUUUGUCCCUGGUGACGAUAAUGACGGUAGCCAGGGAGGAAGCUCCGGCUA
rnacentral:rRNA from 1 species